GCCACGCCCCCUUUCUGGAAAGGAUCCGCGGCGGCUGCAGCUGCCAAGGUCCCCGAGGGCGCUCGCGGCAGGGGAGGAUCAAGGAAAGACUUGUUUAUUAUAGGGUUGCAUUGCUGGAGGAGGGGACAGCCCGUGACCAGGCUAGGAGGAGAGGCAGGGAAGCGUGAGGGGGCGGCGGGCAAGGAAAAUGGUUGCCCCCAGCGUCUUGGAUCCUAAAGCUUCGGGAACAACUGGGCACACACGGGGGGGAUGCCCGUGGGACGGCGGCGCAGGAGCAGACGUUAGCCCGGCCUGCCCUCGCGCCCUUACCCCCUCUAUCCCUGCUUUGCAAAGGCUCGGGAUAUGGGGGUGGGGUCCACAGACUGGGAAGCUCCGGGCACCAUGCUGCCCCUUCCCCAAGGCCCCACCUGCCCAUCCUGGCUGUUACUCUACAGCCCAGGACAUAGGUUAAUGGGGAUCCCUGCCUCCUCCCAAACCCUAUCUGCUUCCACUUCCAACUGCUCCCAAGGAGAGGGCUUGAGGAGAGUGGUUAGAGGAGUGUGGAUGGGCCCGGGUUCAUAGCGCCCAGUGCAGGGAUGGAAGCGAGGAUUCACAGCAGUCGGACUCACAGACCCAUCCGCCCUCCCCGCGGACUGCAGGCAGCGCAGCCGGACCUCCCUGCCCGGGCGCCCCCCGGGUCCUAGCACCCAGCGCUCGCCUAGCGCUUUGUGUAAAAGAUCCAGACGGUUGCAUCAGGACCGAGGACCGAGAUCUCUGGAAAAGCCAGGGAGUGCAAUGGCCAUCCCGUGUUUCAUCAUUCAGGCGGGGCCACAGGAAAUCUGGCCUGGCAGCAGUGCUCAGAGGCUAACAGUGGUUGCUGAGGGUGGGUGGAGGUUGAGACGGACUCGACCUUUAUUGCUCUAAAGGUUUAUCAGUCUGGGACAGGAGGACCCUGAUGGAAGAGGGAGCCAAACUUACAUCAGAUGCCCAGGGCCCCGGGGGCGGGCAAGGAACCUAACCAGAUAGGCGGGCCUUGCCUCGGGUCAGGCUUGCUUUCGCGUGACAAAUGACACUUGCAGGAGAUGUCAGGCCACUGCCCUCCGCAACCCCCAUCCCCACCCCAACUUAGAAAAAAGAAAAAGCUGACACUUGGGCCAAGACUUAGAACCUGAAAGAACCAGAAUCCAAGCUCUGCACCCUACUCUCAUUUGACAGGUGGGAGACCCACUUAUGGAGACAAAUUUAUGGAUUAAAAAAAGAAAUCAGGGGAUCCAGGAGACAUCUUAAAGACAGCUGCAGAAUGGAAUAGUUUGUGAGCCACUGGGACUUUCAAGGCCUUCUCUUCCCAUUCUUCAAGCUCUGUCGCUUGUUGGAGCCUUAAAGACACCAGAUUGCUUAACAAUGGGGAUAUAAAAAUUAAAAAUAAUAAAAGACACUGGAUCAAGGCGGCUAGUUGUUCUUGGAGGGCUGGAGUAGAUGACAUACUCUUGAAAUCACUCUUACAGAGGUGACCUGCAUGGGUGUGUCUUCCUGCUGGCCAGAGAGAAGAUCUGAAUUAAUCCAUCAGGAACAUUCACAUUUCCUCCAGGCUGAUUUGGGCGG
rnacentral:lncRNA from 1 species